GCCGGGGUGGCUCAGUCAGUUGAGCAUCUGACUUCGGCUCAGGUCAUGAUCUCACAGUUUGUGGGUUCGAGCCCCGUGUCAGGCU
rnacentral:tRNA from 1 species